CUUGCUACUCAGGAGGAUGGAGUGUGGUACCCAUCGUCAGUCUGCUACAGCAGCACCACAUCAUCCAUCAUUGUGGGACAGUACUUGGACGGCAACAUCCUGGUGUUCAGAGUGGAAUAGUGUGUACAUUCGCUGCUGAGUCAGAACAAGGAUGCUGAGGAUGUGGUGGACAAGGAUGACAUGACUACGCAGAAGAUCCAUAAAUACACCAGGAAUGCGCCGUCUUGUGUAUUUCCUGUUUAUUAAGGAUGCAAAAAGAUGAGGUGGUAAAGAACAUAAUGAAUUUACAUAAGCAACUGCUAAGCACAGAAGACAACGGAGUAGUGAAAGGCUCAGCCAAAUCAAAGUCCAGCGAUGUGAGGGUGACACAGCCUUUCCAUGUCCUUGUAUUGCAACAUGAAGGACAUUUUAGCUGAAACUAACAAGGGAGAGAACUGUAGAUCUGCACCAGCACAGAGCACCAGCAUUGAUAUCGAGUUGGCCCAGCAACCGCACGAGUCCCGCCUGCAGGAGCCCCAGUCCAGAACGACCCUUCCCCUCCCCUGACUUCUAACUCCUCCCCCUUGACCUCCUGACUCAAAAAGUCAGCAUCGUUGAACAACUCCGUUCUGCAGAAAAUUCUGAGCAUGAUUCUGGUCUGAACAAACACAAUGCCCACGUCAAGUUGUCCACACAUAAGCCUGGGUAGUUCUGUUAAGCUAGAGUUCCGCGUGGGCCUGAGAGGGACGAGUUUUACAAACACGAAAAGUUAUAGCUGUAGUUAUGGUAACGCUAACAGUCAGUUGUUGCUGUUGGACAUCACAACAAAUAUCCUGAAGAAUAAAAAGUUCAAUAACUUGUUCCAAUCUUUAUGGGACAAACAGAAAUUGGACGGGAGAAAAUCAAGGAACAAUAAAAGCGUAAGCUUUCCUAGUGGGAUGCUUCUGCUGUUGAUAGUUUGGACGACAAUAGGGUUACGGACUGCCCCAGAUUGUCCUCUCAGCGGCCAAAAUAUCAUAAUAGAACGGACUUUUGGCAAUGUUACCGACAAAGAAAGGCAGUAAUGACUUGGUUGUGAAUACCCAGAGCACGAUACAUCCAUGCUGACACAAAAAGGCAGUUAUGACUUGGUGGUGAAAACCCAGAGCACGCUACAUCCUUGCUGACCAAGAAAUGCAGUAAUGACUUGGUUGUGAAUACCCAGAGCAUGCUACAUCCAUGCUGACACAGAAAGGCAGUAAUGACUAUGCUGUGAACACCCAGAGCAAGAUAUAUCCAUGCUGACACAGAAAGGAAGUAAUGACUAUGCUGUGAACACCCAGAGCAAGAUAUAUCCAUGCUGACACAGAAAGGCAGUAAUGACUAUGCUGUGAACACCCAGAGCAAGAUAUAUCAAUGCUGACACAGAAAGGAAGUAAUGACUAUGCUGUGAACACCCAGAGCAAGAUAUAUCCAUGCUGACACAAAAAGGCAGUAAUGACUAUGCUGUGAACACCCAGAGCAAGCUACAUCCAUGCUGACACAGAAAGGAAGUUAUGACUAUGAUGUAAACACCCAGAGCACAAUACAUCCAUGCUGACACAGAAAGGCAGUAAUGACUAUGCUGUGAACACCCAGAGCACGCUACAUCCAUGCUGACACAGAAAGGAAGUAAUGACUUUGCUGUGAACACCCAGAGCAAGAUAUAUCCAUGCUGACACAGAAAGGCAGUAAUGAUUAUGCUGUGAACUCCCAGAGCAAGAUAAAUCCAUGCUGACACAGAAAGGCAGUAAUGACUACGCUGUGAACACCCAGAGCACAAUACAUCCAUGCUGACACAGAAAGGCAGUAAUGACUUGGUUGUAAACACCCAGAGCACAAUACAUCAAUGUUGACUCAGAAAGGCAGUAAUGACUUGGUUGUGAACACAGAACACGAUACACCCAUGCUGACACAGAAAGGCAGUAAUUACUUGGCUGUGAACACAGAGCACAAUACAUCCAUGCGGAAACAGAAAGGCAGUCAUGACUAUGCUGUGAACACCCAGAGCACGAUAAAUCCAUGCUGACACAGAAAGACAGUAAAGACUUGGUUGUAAACACCCAGAGCACAAUACAUCCAUGAUGACACAGAAAGGCAGUAAAGACCUUGUUGUAAACACUAAGAGAUCCAUACAUCCAUGGGGUGUGCCACAGCCCGAAUUACGCCCACUAUUGUGAACAAGGUGCUUAAAGUGAACAUGUCUGGUUUUGGUAUGAGGACUUAGCACUCCAAGCCUAAAAGGCCUCGCAUUGAAUUGAUGCAAGAGAAGGAUUUGAAAAAUAACAGCAGUUUUGUUGUGUGGUCCAGUACGCCCUUCGACUCUCAACCUGAAGAAAGCAGAACUCAAACUCGGCUCUUAUCAAUAUCAGCAAGGCCAGCAUGUCAUAUCAGCUUCUUGAGCUUCAGAAAUUCAGCACGAAGACAUCUUGCGUCAGACUACCAAGCCUCCUAUCAAUAUCUCCUCCCAUGUUGGCUUCAUCAACACUUCCAACAGAGCCUUGGUGAGUUCGACUUCCAUCUCAGCAUCGAUGUCGCUUAGCAACAAUUGGAUGAUGGGCGUCGACAAAUUAGGCCGGACAAGUCGCUCAAACUGAAACGAUCUGAUCCAACAGGUAGAGCAGGCAUUGCGUGACACGUCCGUUAAUGUGACUGACCUCAUUAUGUUGUUCUCGAAUAAUGUGAACCUUAGGCCUGGAGAGCAGUUUGCGAUUGACGCCAUUCAACAACAGUUGUUGUUGGCAAUUCUCGGGUUUGGGGUGGCGACUUCGGCGUCAGGACUCGCUCCAUCUCUGUCCAUGGCCCAGUCGCAGCAGCAGCAACAAGAAAAAUAAAGCCUGUUCCUACAGGAACCUAUGCAAUCAUAGAUCGGUACCUAGCUGAACAACAGGCUGUAUGGUCAGCUGGUCCCAGACGCCCAGUGACACUUCCUGGCCCAGGACCUUGGGGCAAAUGCUCAACUAUACCUACCCGCAGAGUGGAGCCACUCUGAACCUGGGGCUCCAUACUUUCUUGGCCAGGGGCCAAGUUUACCUUGUCAAUAAGGUACAUGUAGGGACACAUUCCUUGGAUGCCCUAAGGUUUCUCUAUCUGUUCACAAAGGCUUUAUACUCACAAGUUCAAGCCCAGUGAGCGAUGUUCACAUUAUCA